rnacentral:ncRNA from 2 species
CAUAUCAUUCGCCGCGUUGGUGCUCGCGCCGCAUCAUGUCGGCGCAGUUAAACGGGAAUCAGGAAGGGCCGUUCCCACGGAACCCGCCCCCACCUGAGCUGCCCCCGCAACGGUAAGCGGACGAAGCCUCGCGCUUCACUCGUGUACAGAAUCCACUGGGCCUGAUCGGUCUGGGAAGGAUGACACGGGAGGUCUGUCAGCCCGGAUACCGGCCAACAGGGGGUCGCGCCU